UACGUAGGUGGCAAGCGUUGUCCGGAAUUACUGGGUGUAAAGGGCGCGUAGACGGGCAAAUAAGUCAGAUGUGAAAUACCGGGGCUCAACUCCGGGGCUGCAUUUGAAACUAUCUGUCUUGAGUGCAGGAGAGGAAAGCGGAAUUCCUAGUGUAGCGGUAAAAUGCGUAGAUAUUAGGAGGAACACCAGUUGCGAAGGCGGCUCUCUGGACUGUAACUGACGCUGAGGCACGAAAGCGUGGGGAUCAAACAGGAUUAGAUACCCUGGUA
rnacentral:rRNA from 1 species